GUGGCCAAGGUCCUGUGGAUGCAAGGGUCUCAG
rnacentral:misc_RNA from 1 species